rnacentral:rRNA from 1 species
CCCGCUGAACUUAAGCAUAUCAAUAAGCGGAGGAAAAGAAACUAACAAGGAUUCCCCUAGUAACUGCGAGUGAAGCGGGAAAAGCUCAAAUUUGAAAUCCGGCGGUUCUGCCGUCCGAGUUGUAUUCUGGAGAAGUGCCUUCCGUGCCGGACCGUGUACAAGUCCCUUGGAACAGGGCGUCAUAGAGGGUGAGAAUCCCGUCUUUGACACGGACUGCCGGUGCUCUGUGAUGCGCUCUCGAAGAGUCGAGUUGUUUGGGAAUGCAGCUCAAAACGGGUGGUAAAUUCCAUCUAAAGCUAAAUAUUGGCGAGAGACCGAUAGCGAACAAGUACCGUGAGGGAAAGAUGAAAAGCACUUUGGAAAGAGAGUAAAACAGUACGUGAAAUUGUUGAAAGGGAAACGCUUGAAGUCAGUCGCGUCUGCCGGAACUCAGCCUUGCUUCUGCUUGGUGCACUUUCCGGUUUGAUGGGCCAGCAUCGGUUUUGCGAGGCGGACACUGGCGGGUGGAAGGUGGCGGCUCCGGUCGCGUUAUAGCCUCCCGUCGCGAACGCCUUGUGGGACCGAGGAAUCCGGCGCAAGCCUGGGAUGCUGGCGUAAUGGCUUUAAACGACCCGUCUUGAAACACGG